rnacentral:ncRNA from 15 species
AUACAAAGUGAAUAUGACCCUCAUAUAUAAUGGGAAUACGGCCCAUACGUCUCUACCCGGUUACCGUAAAUAAUCGGACUAUGAGGGAAAGCGGAAGUUGG